UGGUGGAGUGAUUUGUCUGGUUAAUUCCGUUAACGAACGAGACCCCUGCCUGCUAAAUAGUCCGGGUAGUGUUUUUCACUGCUUGGGGCUUCUUAGAGGGACGUGCAUUCGACUAGUUGCAGGAAGAUAGGGGCAAUAACA
rnacentral:rRNA from 1 species